UGUACUUUCAUGUGAUGAUAUAACUACUAUACCAUUGAUCUGCAAGCCACUAAGUUAUCUUUCAGGAAUGUACAGAUCAAAUCUACAUAGCAUGACCAUUUAGUACCACUGCUAUACAUGAGACUCAGGCAAACUCAUCUCUAAUGCUGCCUAGCUAAACUACCAAGCUAGUAUGUUCUACAGCUUCUCAAAGCUACAAUCGAUUGUACACGUCCGAGCUCUACUGAAUUUCACUAUGCAAGCUCUCCCACUAGCUCUUGUGCCAGGAUCUCGAUUUUGCAUCUUC
rnacentral:lncRNA from 1 species